UACGUAGGCAGCAAGCGUUGUUCGGAAUUACUGGGCGUAAAGAGUGUGUAGGCGGUGCUCUAAGUCUGUUGCGAAAUCUCCCGGCUUAACCGGGAGGGUGCGGCGGAAACUGGAGUGCUUGAGGGUGGGAGAGGUAAGCGGAAUUCCUGGUGUAGCGGUGAAAUGCGUAGAUAUCAGGAGGAACACCGAUGGCGAAGGCAGUGCUCUGGCCGAAGACCGACGCUGAGGCGCGAAAGCUGGGGGAGCGAACGGG
rnacentral:rRNA from 1 species